rnacentral:rRNA from 1 species
GUGCCAGCAGCCGCGGUAAUACGUAGGGGGCAAGCGUUGUCCGGAAUCAUUGGGCGUAAAGAGCGUGUAGGCGGCCCGGUAAGUCCGCUGUGAAAGUCAGGGGCUCAACCCUUGAAUGCCGGCGGAUACUGUCGGGCUAGAGUCCGGAAGAGGCGAGUGGAAUUCCUGGUGUAGCGGUGAAAUGCGCAGAUAUCAGGAGGAACACCUACGGCGAAGGCAGCUCGCUGGGACGGUACUGACGCUGAGACGCGAAAGCGUGGGGAGCAAACAGGAUUAGAAACCCUCGUAGUCC